rnacentral:rRNA from 1 species
UACGUAGGGUGCGAGCGUUAAUCGGAAUUACUGGGCGUAAAGCGUGCGCAGGCGGUUCGUUAAGUCAGAUGUUAAAGCCCCGGGCUCAACCUGGGAACUGCAUUUGAAACUGGCGGGCUUGAGUAUGGCAGAGGGGGGUGGAAUUCCGCGUGUAGCAGUGAAAUGCGUAGAGAUGCGGAGGAACACCGAUGGCGAAGGCAGCCCCCUGGGCCAAUACUGACGCUCAGGCACGAAAGCGUGGGGAGCAAACAGG